GUGGACUGGGACAGGAUGAAGGACCUCCGAAAGUUGGCCUCAGAAAACAGCAAGAGGUGGACUGAGACAGGAAGAAGGACCUCCGAAGUUUGGCCUCAGAAAACAGUAAGAGGUGGACUGGGACAGGAUGAAGGACCUCCGAAAGUUGGCCUUAGAAAACAGCAAGAGGUGGACUGAGACAGGAAGAAGGACCUCCGAAAUUUGGCCUCAGAAAACAGCAAGUUGU